UACGGAAGGCAGCAGUGGGGAAUAUUGCACAAUGGGCGCAAGCCUGAUGCAGCCAUGCCGCGUGUAUGAAGAAGGCCUUCGGGUUGUAAAGUACUUUCAGUCGUGAGGAAGGUGUUAAGGUUAAUAACCUUAGCAAUUGACGUUAGCGACAGAAGAAGCACCGGCUAACUCCGUGCCAGCAGCCGCGGUAAUACGGAGGGUGCGAGCGUUAAUCGGAAUUACUGGGCGUAAAGGGCACGCAGGCGGUUAAUUAAGUUGGAUGUGAAAUCCCCGGGCUUAACCUGGGAAUGGCAUUCAAGACUGGUUAGCUAGAGUCUUGUAGAGGGGGUAGAAUUCCGAUGUGUAGCGGUGAAAUGCGUAGAGAUGUGGAGGAAUACCGGUGGCGAAGGCGGCCCCUGGACAAAGGCUGACGCUCAUGUGCGAAAGCGUGGGGAGCAAAC
rnacentral:rRNA from 1 species